rnacentral:rRNA from 1 species
GAUGAACGCUGGCGGCGCGCCUAACACAUGCAAGUCGAACGAUUAAAGUACCUUCGGGUGUGUAUAAAGUGGCGAACGGCCGAGUAACACGUGGGCAACCUGCCCCUUUCAUUGGGAUAGCCACGGGAAACCGUGGAUAAUACCGAAUACUUCGAGACUUCCGCAUGGAAGACUCGAGAAAGCUCCGGCGGGGAGGGAUGGGCCCGCGGCCUGUUAGCUUGUUGGUGGGGUAACGGCCUACCAAGGCAAUGAUGGGUAGCUGGGUUGAGAGACCGACCAGCCAGAUUGGGACUGAGACACGGCCCAGACUCCUACGGGAGGCAGCAGUGGGGAAUCUUGCACAAUGGGCGAAAGCCUGAUGCAGCGACGCCGCGUGCGGGAUGAAGGCCUUCGGGUUGUAAACCGCUUUCAGCAGGGACGAGGCGAAAGUGACGGUACCUGCAGAAGAAGCCCCGGCUAACUACGUG